AAUAGUCCAAUUGUUAAGUUAUUCCAGUUGUCAGUAUCAAUGUUACAAGAAAAUCUCAGCUUGAAAUCAACCUAUUAUACAUCACACUCCAAAAGAUUAUCAAUUUUAACCCAAUUUUAUCAAGAUCAGCACAAUGAUUAACAACAAAAAAAAGCACUGAGUGAGGUAAUGAGCACAAAAUCAAGAAACUUUAAUAAAAUUUAACAUCAGAAAAAAAGCAAGAACAAGCCAAUAACAGUUUAUCAGUACCAAUUUAGCAUCAAUCAAUAAGCCAGUAACAGAGUUCAUUAAUCAAGAACAGGCUAGAACAAGCCAGAGUAGUGAGCAAAGCCAAUCAACCAAGAACAAGCCAGUAACAGUUUAUCAGUACCAAUUUAGCAUCAAUCAAUAAGCCAAUGAUUAACAAGCUCAGCACAAUGAUUAACAACAAAAAAAAAAGUACUGCAUGAGGUAAUGAGCACAAAAUCAAGAAACUUUAACAAAAUUUAACAACAGACAAAAAAGCCAAGAACAAGCCGGUAACAGUUUAUCCGUACCAAUUUAGCAUCAAUCAAUAAGCCAGUAACAGAGUUAAUUAAUCAAGAAUAGGCUAGAACAAGCCAGAGUAGUGAGCAAAGCCAAUCAGCCAAGAACAAGCACUAAGCACUGACAGAGCAUCCAAUUAACUCAAGCACAAAGUAAAAAAACAAAACAGCAACACAACAC